ensembl:lncRNA
UUGCUUUAAAUUUUUCUGUUUUAUUCAAUCAAAUGCCUCCUUGCUCCCUUAUGGAACAAGGGCAACAACCAGAAAGUAGGACCCUUUCCUUAAAAGAUGAAGUACAAUAAAAGACCACUGGAUCUGGCAUCAGAAAACAUGGCUGCAAAUUUGGAUCUUGCUUUUGCUUCUAUGACCCUGGGAAAUAUACUUAGCCCCCCUGGGUCUUAAUUUCUUCAUGGAGAAUGUGAGAAAGUUGGACUAAAUGACCCAGAGGUUCUUUCCAGUUCUAUGACUUUUUGAUAUUGGAUUCACAUGACCAUUAUGAAGUAAACAGAGCAAGUGUUAUUAUCCCCAUUUUCCAUAUGAGGCAACUGAGACUCGGAGAGAGUAAAUAAUUUGCCUGGACUCACACAACUAGUUACCAACACGGGUAUUUGAACCCAGUCCUCUCAGGACUCCCAAACAGCAUUCUUUCUACGAUCCCAUGCUGCCUCUCAGAGCUUUUUCCUCCACUAUUUUCGCAGCUCCCAUGACACCCCAAUGUUCCCUUCGGUUUUAAUGACGACCUUGUUUUCAUUUUACUACAACAAAAUCAAAAUAUUUUAAAACUUAGGCAUCAGGGAACAAAUUCAGAUAAUGAAGUGCCAACUGGAUUCUGGCACCCUUCCUUGCACAUUUGUCAUCAGGAGUCAAAAGUAAUAGGAAAGAAAUUAGGCAGAUAAAAGCACAGUUCUGUUUCACAUGCUCUGAACUGACAUUCUACAGUCAGAGUUCUGGAAUCUCUGCCUCUGCCACCGCCGUACAACUACCAUCUUUUUUAAUCAGUUGCAGCAGAUAUGCCGAGCUGAAUUAACGCCGGACACUGCUCCAUGGUCAUGAGACCAAAUGUUUUUUUGUCCAAAUCUGCAGUGGGGCAGCUCUUUUUGUGGGAGCAAAGAAUUGGAAACCGGAGUGAUGUCCAUCAGCUGGGGAAUGUCUGAACAAGUUGUGGCAAAUGAUUGUGAAGGAAUACUACUACUGUCACAGGAAAUAAGGAAGAGGGCAAUUUAAAGAACAUGGAAAAACCCACAGGAAGGUAUGAAGAGUGCAAUUAGCAAAACCAAGAGAACAUUACAUACAGUAACAAUGUUUGAAGAAUAACGUGUGUUUUCCUCCUGAAAAAGAGAACUGAUAAAAAGAAUCAAGUGAGACAAAGUUUAUAUACACAUUUUUCUUUGAUCAAAUGAUGUCUUUUCUUGUGCAGGGAGAUGAGGGAAGAAGGAAGACACUUGGAAAUUUUAAUAUAACAAGUUUCUAAAGGGGAAAAAAGUGUAGGAGGAUAAUAAUGCUCAAGGAGGUUGGGGUCUGGUUGUACAGAGCUUUAAAAGCUAGAGAGGAGUUAAUACUCUAUCAUAAAGGCCUUGAGUUGAGUAGGGUUAUCAUAUCUGAGCAUAAAGACAAGAAUUCUGGCAGCAGACAAUGUGGAUGGAUUGAAAUGGUGGACAUUUGAGGCAGGGGGACCAAGUAAGAAACUGUUGCAAUAAUUUUGUGAGAGUUGAAAGGGGCUUGAAGUAAGGUAGUAGCUGUGUAAAUAGAGAGGAGGAAUCAGAAGCAAGAUAUAUCAUAAAGGAAGAAAUGGCAAAGUUUGGCAACUGAUUGAAUAUUUGGGAUGAUCUAGAAUGAGGAGUUGAGGAUAAUGUCCAGAUCAUAAACCCAAGCUGCUAGAAGAUGGUGGUGACUUUGACAGAAAUAGGGAAGUUUGUAACAGAGAACUUCAUUAGUUCUCAUACCAAUAAAAUCACAGACCAUCAGACCA